AUUGAACGCUGGCGGCAUGCCUUACACAUGCAAGUCGAACGGUAACGGGUCCUUCGGGAUGCCGACGAGUGGCGAACGGGUGAGUAAUACAUCGGAACGUGUCCAGAAGAGGGGGAUAACGCAUCGAAAGAUGUGCUAAUACCGCAUAUGCUCUGAGGAGGAAAGUAGGGGAUCGAAAGACCUUACGCUUUUGGAGCGGCCGAUGUCUGAUUAGCUAGUUGGUGGGGUAAGGGCCUACCAAGGCGACGAUCAGUAGUUGGUCUGAGAGGACGACCAGCCACACUGGGACUGAGACACGGCCCAGACUCCUACGGGAGGCAGCAGUGGGGAAUUUUGGACAAUGGGCGCAAGCCUGAUCCAGCAAUGCCGCGUGAGUGAAGAAGGCCUUCGGUUGUUAAGACUCUUUCUAGUCGAGAAGAAAAGGAC
rnacentral:rRNA from 1 species